rnacentral:rRNA from 1 species
GACGAACGCUGGCGGCGUGCCUAAUACAUGCAAGUCGAACGAGAGCGACCGGUGCUUGCACUGGUCAAUCUAGUGGCGAACGGGUGAGUAACACGUGGGUAACCUGCCCAUCAGAGGGGGAUAACAUUCGGAAACGGAUGCUAAAACCGCAUAGGUCUUCGAACCGCAUGGUUUGAAGAGGAAAAGAGGCGCAAGCUUCUGCUGAUGGAUGGACCCGCGGUGCAUUAGCUAGUUGGUGAGGUAACGGCUCACCAAGGCCGUGAUGCAUAGCCGACCUGAGAGGGUGAUCGGCCACAUUGGGACUGAGACACGGCCCAAACUCCUACGGGAGGCAGCAGUAGGGAAUCUUCCGCAAUGGACGCAAGUCUGACGGAGCAACGCCGCGUGAGUGAAGAAGGUUUUCGGAUCGUAAAACUCUGUUGUUAGAGAAGAACAAGUGCUAGAGUAACUGUUAGCGCCUUGACGGUAUC